rnacentral:lncRNA from 1 species
CAGUGAAGGUGAAUGGAUUUGUUUGCAAGGAUCCUAUGGCUGUGAACGCUGACGACUUCUUCAAGGCUGCAAAACUUGAUCAGCCAAGGGACACCACCAAAAGCAAGGUGGGAUCCAACGUUACUCUGAUCAAUGUCAUGCAGCUGCCUGGACUCAACACGUUGGGGAUCUCGUUGGCUCGCAUUGACUACGCACCAUUAGGUCAGAAUCCUCCACACACACACCCACGUGCCACUGAGAUCCUCACCGUGCUUGAAGGGACACUCUACGUCAGAUUUGUCACCUCCAACCAAGCUGACAGAAGCAACAAGCUAUUUGCCAAGGUUCUCAACAAGGGCGAUGUGUUUGUAUUCCCCCAAGGACUAAUCCACUUCCAGUUCAAUCCAGUACAUGACAAGCCAGCAGUCGCGCUCGCUGCUCUAAGUAGCCAGAACCCUGGAGCUAUUACUAUUGCCAAUGCAGUCUUUGGAUCAAAGCCACCUAUCUCGGAUGAUGUCCUAGCUAAGGCCUUUCAGGUGCAAAAGGGGACAAUUGAUUGGCUUCAAGCUCAGUUCUGGGAGAACAACCACUACUGAAAAAAUCAAUUCUGAGUUCAACAUAUGAGAAUAAAGAAAUGUACUUGUAUUUUACAUACUACUCUAUGUGUUAACCUUUUUCUAGGUUGUGGCUGAUAAUAAAAUAAAUGUUACUCUAUCAUACUAGAUAUGAAACAUUAACUUAGUUUAGUAAUACACGAAUAGUCGGUUAUUACGAAGAAAUCACUCCCCUACAUCUAUAGGAAAGGAUAAGUCCUAAAUUCAACCAGGAGUGACCAAAAAAGCUCAUAUUUAUGACAAGGCAUGAGCUCGAGCUAAAUUUUGGCAGAACAACCCGGAUGUUCUCCAUUUACAUGCCUGAAAAUGCUGCAACAGAGAACAAAGGGGUUCUUCUGAAAUUACGCACGGGCACAUGUCUUUUUAUAAAUAUGAGCUCUAUCGGUCACUCUGAGGCUGUCCAAUAAAGGGACAAUCCUUCCCCAACAUACGUCAUAUGCAUCCCAUGUGAGGUGUGUUGGACCAAAAUGGGUGAUGCGCAGAUUCGGUUCCAUUUGUUAACUCUAUGAUACACACAUUUACGCUACAUCCAUCGAUCGAUAUUAUAUAAUUCAACUAAUAAAACACCAAUACAAUGUUUUAUACUACAUAACAUUGUUUUGGGUGAAAAUAAUGUUAAAUGACCUUAUUUCCAAAGGUUUAAUAAUUACCAUUAGAAAUUACAUAUUUAAGUUAUUUAAGCACACUAAAUGAACUAAAACAAUCUAUAUAAACUACACAAUCACCACUAGGGUCGUCAAAUAUAUACAACACACAUAUUUCAUACAAACAAAUAAUCAAUCAAUGCAUGUAAUUAUAAAGCAAAUGGUCUUACUUCGGGAGGCAGUGCGAUGUUGUGGAAGGUGGGGAGGCACUCUGGAAGGCGUGCGAUGGACGAGGUGACGCUGAGAGAGGUUGGCGGAGCUUCGGGAGGCGUGUGGUGGGUGGUCGUGCCCUGGCGGAUGGCGCUACGGGCGACGGUGGCUUCGAUGGAGCUUCGAGAGGCGUAUGGUGGGUGGCAGCGCCCCGACGGAUGGCGCUACGGGCGGCGACAACUUCAGCUCCAGCGGACGUGGCAUCGACGAACGAGUGCGGGCGUGGCUUCUACAUGGCGAUAAGGGCGACGACGACGAACAACUUUGGCAGGGCACGAAGCCGGGGAUGGGCCGAGAGAGGGCACGGGUCGUAGGCGAUCGCGGGGCGACAACGACAGGUCAAGCGGAUGCAGCAUACGACGUGAGAGAGAGCAGGCGGCCACGCGUGGGGAGAGAAAGUGAAACGACGUGGUCGGGCGUUGUUUCCUUAAAUCGACGUAUGUACAACGACGUGUCUGGCAGCUAUGGGACAUAAGGAUUACUAGUCGGUUGCACGUGCGUUGCGGCGGCUCACAACAAUACCCACGUAAACUAUCCACCAAAAAGAUUUCAAGAUCUUUUAUUGAUUGUCUCCGCUCUCCACAUAAUAUUUUUUAUUUAACUAACUGAUGUUGUUGUUUACUCCAUACAAUAUGUCUUGGUACAACACGGCCAAUGAAGAGAGUGAUUAGAAGAGAUUUCACAACGACCGAUUGAACGAAUAUAGAUUAUAGAAUGACAUAAUUCCACCAUACAGAGACCAAAUAAGAGAAAGUUUGUGAGCUCAAGUUUCUAAAAUAAGUCACAUGAACUCAAACUUAUAAAAAAGAUAGAUCAAAAUAUGGAUUGGUUACUAAAGUCAGUCAUCAAUAAAAAUUGGAUGCGCUCCAUACAAAUUAUGGUACUUCAUAACAAUUACUAACGUUCGAAAUCAACAAAUAACCUUUCAUUUUAUUGCUAGGGUGACAAAUCAUUGCUACUCCAUCCAAUUUAGCAACCUCAAACACCAUGGAGUCCAUUGCGCCAAUGUGGUCUCAGAGACAACAUAAUGCAUGCAAGAGCUAAGAACACAAUGGACAAGCACCCUGUGAUAGUUCCCUCAUGGAUCUCCAAAUCCUAACACAUAUUUUGCAGGAUCCAUGAACCAUCAUAAGAAAAAUACAAACCACGUGCAAACAGUAAAUAAAGUAUUAACACACCCAAAUUAUGUUCAGUCAUUAGCACAACAAAAACUUAACACCCAAAACAACAGCGAAACAACACAAUAUUUUUUGCAAUGACAGAAGGAUGGGUGAUAGGUACAUAGAAGUGGUAGAAGCAUACCGAGUCGACACCGUGGUAAGGGAAAGGCCAUGUAGACAGGCGAUGUCGAGCCAACGAACAGGUACCAGGCAGCAAAUGAGAGACUCACAUCCCUCGCCUCCCCCACUUCUAAGGUUUCGUAGAGCUGGAAGGGAAGGGAAGAGGCAGGCAUACCUAUUCAUUGCCGGAGAAGGACACGACAAAGACCUAGGCAUCUAGAGGCAACAUAGGUAGUAUAUCGCUAGAUACAUAUAGGGAGAGAGCACAUAAGUGGAGAAAAAAGCCUAGGGGAGCGGCUCCAAACCGAGAGGCAUCCGCACUAGGCGCCAGCCCGAGAAGGGCGAGAGAAUGCGAGUGCCUCCCCAGCCCUAGACCCGCCAAAGCAACACAACAACACCACCAACUUCGUAGCAUAUGCCGACUGCUAUCGCGCCAUGGGCCUUGGUUGUCCAAUAUCUCAGACCUGGACUCCUCAUAGCCAAGAUAACCUAAGCGUGGUAGACGCCACCGUGUCCUCCUCGGAGGUACGCACGAAGAAAGGCUAGGAGCAAGACCGACUCGCCCAUACUCGUGUCGACGAGCGUCGGUGGGCUCGUGGUUGCGACCGUGGGCGGGGGCAACAGGUUGGGGAGGAAGAACAGGGUGAAGGUCGGGAAGAUGAACGGGACGUCCGAGGACGGUAAAAACGAUGGUGCGCACAUGCUGUGAAACGUCUUUGUGGACGUGCAAUAUCCAAUGCGCGGGUCGGUGUCGGGGCUGGUGUCGGACGAAUACGGGGAGGAGGCGGCUGCUCUCACGCCCUCUGCCGAGAAUGGGGUGGCACAGAGACGGAGGCAUGAGGGGAGAGAGAAAAGAAGUUGGAUGGCGAACGAGGUCGCGACAACUGAGGCGAAGACCAUCAUUACCGUGUGGAGGUAUAGAUGGCCAAAUGGGUCGUGUCUGGUGGCUUGGCCCGGGGCACGACCCAUUUAAUAUUGCCUGGGCCAGUCCCGCACGAGCGUCGUGCCGUGCUUGGGCCCGUAGUGCUGGCCCGAUCCGACACAAUUAUUUUUUUAUCUUACAAAAAAUCAUAUAUAUAUAUAUGUACAAUUUAUAUUCAAUAUUAAAAAUACCCGAGCAUGAUGUUCUACUGGUUAGAUAGCUUCAACAAGUGUCUCCCGCCCUUUUUCCAUUAUGGUGUGGGUUCGAACCCCCUCCUGCAGCGUUUUAGAGAUAGAGAUAGAGAUGUAUGACGAAGACAAGCCGUCAGAUAUUAUGUUAUGUCCGACGGCCCAAGGAAACCGUUGGACAUUAGUAUUACUUACGACUGGUGUCCUUGAGACCACGGAAAUAAGCAAGCACAGUCAGAUGUUUCUUUGUUUCAUGUUGUGCACGAUAGGUAAUAAAAAUUUAUCUGCCAUUGCUAACCAUGACGAAAGAAUGAGGCUCGGAGUCGAAAGAAAAGCACAAUUUUAUUUGCCUCGACGUUUUUUAUUGUAAGUUAUUGUAGUGGGAGUCCCUACAUUAUUUUUUGUAUCAAAGAAUGAGUAUCUAUAGGUUAUAUGUGGGAUCGAGAGAGAGAGAGGUUACAAUGUUUGGGAGUCCCUACGAACAGUUGAGCAUAGUAUCUCCCUCUUGAACAAUUCUUUACAGUUUUAUUAUAUAAUUGUUUCUGCAUUUCUAGAUACAUAAUUUUAUUUGCCUCGAUGUUUUUUAUUGUAAGUUAUUAUAGUGGGAGUUCCUACAUUAUUUUUUAUAUCAAAGAAUGAGUAACUAUAGGUUAUAUGUGGGAUCGAGAGAGAGAGGUUACAAUGUUUGUGUCUAUAGACUAACGGAGUGUUUUGUUAUAUAACAGUUGAGCAUAGUAUCUCCCUCUUGAACAAUUCUUUACAAUUUUUUACAAUUCUUUAUAGUUUUAUUAUAUAACUUUUUCUGCAUUUCUAGAUACAUAAUUUUAUUUGUCUCGACGUUGACAAGUACAAUAGAGAUUAGAUUAAAUUGAACAGUUCUACUACAGGGACAUAGGACCCUGUCAUGCUGGAGGUCAAGGAGUUGGUGCCCGCCAUUACUCUAAAGCUACGUACUAAGAAGAAGUCAAGUGCUUGCUUGAUCUAGCUAGUAAAACGUGUACGACACAUGUUGGUUUGGUGGAACUGACACAUAUUAUAUUCCACAAGACGAACAAGCAAAAAUGCUGUCACAUGUUGGUUCGGCUGAGAAACAGUAGCAUAGUGGUUGAAGGACGAACCUGCCUGGUGAGUUGAAGGAGCCUGCCCGGUGCACAACUCAAAAGAAAAGCCAUAGUUUUCUCUAUGUCGAUGUCGACAAGUAAAUAGAGAUUAGAUUAUAUUAAACUGGACGUGGUUCUACCACAGUAGCAUAGUGGUUGAUCGGCAUGGGAACCGUCUACGGGGGAGAACGCUAUUAUUGCCAUUGCCAUUAGAACAGGAGGUGGAGGAUCAACGUUGUUGCGUUGCGACGGAACAUAAAUAUUCAAUAAAAUUUUAAAACGCAGCAAUUUUCACUAGCGGUUUUAUUACCUCGACUGCCACUAAAAAUCGAUUUUUACUGGUGGUUUUCGUAGCUCGACCGCUAGUAGAAAUCGUUUCCACUGGCGGUUCUCAGUUACCGGUCGAUUGAUCACAUUCAGCUAGUGAGGUGGUACUACGUGGGAGAGCUACGCUACGUGGCUUCCUAUUAUGUUGGGCUUAGAGAUGGCAACGGGGACCCAAUCCUUGAUUCCCUGUGGGGAAUUCUUCUAUUAGGGGAAGGGGAUGGGGAAGUUUCUUCCCCCACGGGGAUGUAAACGGAGAAAAAUUCUUCCCCGACGGGUAAAUGGGGAUGGGAAUGGAGAAGUAUUCUCCAUCCCCGUUCCCCGCGGGACGCGUUAAACUUACACGUGACAACGUUUUCAUGUACUAGUUAAUGAUAAAAAUAAAUAAUUACUUUUAUCAAGAGAUCACUCAUUGUACAAAUGUGUUUAUUUUAAUGUACACGUAAUGAUUUAUUACAUCUGACAAUGUGUAGAAGUGACAAUGUUUUACAUUAAUAACAUAUGAAGUGAUGUCACUCAUUGUAGAAGUGACAAGGCGGCCUCCUACCCCUCCUUGUGGUCCCUCUCGGCCACCGGUUUAAGCUAAAAGGCAGCAAUGGGGAAGGUGUGUCAGAGCCAUGUGAGGCUGUGCAACAUAAGCUUGGUGCCGGAGGGGCUGACCUACGAACAUUAUUAUAGGUUGGACAGCGUGGUGGACGGGGCGGCGCUGGCACGACAUGCAUGGAGGGUCGUUGGCGACCAUGCGCAGCAUGGCCGGAGUUUGUUUGCAGCGUGGUGGCGGGUUGCGGCAUCCGACCAUCUGUUCCGGCAAGCCUUGGGGCAAGGGGCGUUUGGGGCAGGCUGCAUUAAUUGACACCUAGGCCAGUGCAUCGUUGGCGACGUCGAAAUCGGGUCGGGGCGCCUUCGACGGAGGUGGCGGUAUGGGGGCUAGGGUUCAAGGGGGAUCAUGGCUAGGGUUGCUGGGGGAUCGAGGCUAGGGUUACAGCCUGGCGGGUGGAUCGGGGCGCGAGAUCGGGUCCCGUUGUUUGCGGGGCUGGGACGGCGGGAUCAGGCACGGAUUCGGCGCUCGGGAUCGUUCAGAUGGUGGGUGAAUCGGAUGACUUUUAUUGCAUAACGGUACCACAGACGACUGAGUUGGUGUAACGGUAGAACGGUUUGGAGCAUCCUACUCCUUGCGGCCUUAAUAAGUAGUAGAGAUUAUACGACGGUAUGGUGGUGCACUUUCGCUUUAUUGACUUAUCUGGCUCUUCUUUUAGGGGGGAGGGGGAGGGGCGGGGGGCAGUUGACUCUUUCUAUAUACGUUGGUGAUUAGUGAGCACAAGAAUAGUUAGUCUGUUUGCUUCUUAGUUGGUCUCUUUCAACGUGCUCCUUAGUUGGUCUCUCUUUGCUUCUAGCACAACAUAUAAGUAAUUGUAUUCUUUCUUUUGUUGAUUUGUUUUUUAAUGACGAAUAAUAUGACUAUUACAGUGUUUGUGAUGGUUCAUUGCACAACCUAAUUAAGUUUUAUGCUACCAUACUUACAUAGAAAGAGUCAACUCACAAAAAUUAUAGAAAUAGUCAGUAACGCUUCUUCGUCUUGUGGAAUAUAUUUCUGUUAGCUCCACACCAAACGAACAUGUGUCGUACAAGUUUUACUAGAUCAAGCACUUGAUUGCUUCUUAAUACGUAGCUUUACACUAAAACGUGAAGGAAGGAUGGCUUAGCAUCAUAUAAAAUACAGAGCAGUUUUUCCCUUGUCGAUCUUUUUUGCUAGAUAUAUAUAUUUUACUAUCCGCCCUUCAGGCUAUCGCUAGCAGCUUCCUAUAUCACCUCUAUCUCACCUUAUUUUCAAACUGCACUAUGUAAACUGUACAUUCGAUCUACGAUACGAAGCAGUGCUUUGCACAGUCAUAUACACGCUCUGCUGAGCACGGCCAUAUCGAUCACUCGCUGUCACGACGCAUUUUUUUGCCGAUUGCUCGAUAUAAAGUACUCGACAAAGUGGCUGUAUAGUGGAAAUGCUGAUUUCCACUGACCCCGCGGUACUGAAAAACGCCAGUGUAAAUAGGUUUAGAACCGCCACUAUAGAGUUUCUGUGUACUAGUGUGUUGCCGAUAAACUGUUCACCGAGCCCUGUUUGCCGAGUAUUACACUCGAUAAAGCGUUUGACAUGUGCCAUCGAGGCUUUGACGAGUGCUCUAGGCACUCCGCAAAGAACACUAUUAUGGUAGUGGUUGUUACAGUUGGUUUGGUGUGAAACUAAAAGACGUAUAUAUUCCACAAUUUGCAAAAGCAAAAAAAGAAAAUGGUGAACAAGCUAGUAAACAUUGCAAACAUUAAUCUGAUAUAUAUGACUCGUCAAGUGAUCACGGAUGACGAAACGGAGAUUGUUGAAUAUAUAUGAGGUGCAAACAGUAAUUAAAGAUAUUAUGUGAGUACGUACAAGAAUAGAUCGUUCAAUGAACCAUUAUCACAGUCCAGCAACAGCAACAAAUUUGUCUUCUCAUGUGCGAGAUGGGGGUAGAAAUGGAUGUCCAAUCGUCCGUUUUUUAUGUAUCCAUCGACUAAUCCUCCAUUAUUUUGCAUUUUAUUAAACAAAUUUUAAAAUUUGGAUCACUAAGUGAUUACUAGAAAUCUUCAAUACGCAGUUCGCUGGAACCUAGCCACUCAAACACACAAAAAGAAAAGAAAGAACACACAAAAGGCAUCGUAGAUUUAAACCGCUGAAAUAAGAUAACUGUACUGUGUCGUCAUCAGCAGGUUCAGGCUGCUAGAGACUAUUUCUUCAGGUCGGCUGAUAGGUUCAACCAAAGACUUAUUCAGCUACUGAUACGUACACGUCACCACAUGCGCUCUGGCAGGCUAUAUAAACCUCACCGUCCCCAUGCCCAAAGCAUCAACAACCAUAGACACAAACACAACAAGCUAAUAAGAAGCUAGGUAGCUGAAUAUUCAGAGAGCACAAACACAAACGCGAGUGCAAAACCAAAUGGCUGCCUCGACCUACUUCCUUCUUGUUGCUUUUCUAGCAUUGGUCACUUCUCAUGCCAUUGCUUCUGAUCCUAGCCCGCUCCAAGACUUCUGUGUUGCCGACAAAGACUCUCCGGGUAUGCGUGCUCUCGUCUUGACUUAUGUUGUGUUCUUAUAAUAAAUACCUGAUUAAAUAAGGUUCAUUUAAUUUGUUCAAAUCACAUCUACAUACAAUAAGCAUUUCUAGGUAUGCAUGGCACAAUGGCCUAUUCUCCAUCUAAUUGCUUGCCUUCGUCUAUGCAUACAGUGAAGGUGAAUGGAUUUGUUUGCAAGGAUCCCAUGGCUGUGAACGCUGACGACUUCUUCAAGGCUGCAAAACUUGACCAGCCAAGGGACACCACCAGUAAGGUGGGAUCCAACGUUACUUUGAUCAAUGUCUUGCAGCUACCUGGACUCAACACGUUGGGCAUCUCGUUGGCUCGUAUUGACUAUGCGCCCUUAGGACAGAAUCCUCCACACACGCACCCACGUGCCACGGAGAUCCUCACCGUGCUUGAGGGGACACUCUACGUCGGAUUUGUCACCUCCAACCAAGCUGACAAAAGCAACAAGCUAUUUGCUAAGGUUCUCAACAAGGGCGAUGUGUUUGUAUUCCCCCAAGGACUAAUCCACUUCCAGUUCAACCCGGUCCCUGACAAGCCAGCAGUCGCGCUCGCUGCUCUAAGUAGCCAGAACCCUGGAGCUAUUACUAUUGCCAAUGCAGUCUUUGGAUCAAAGCCACCUAUCUCAAAUGAUGUACUAGCUAAGGCCUUUCAAGUGCAAAAGGGGACAAUUGAUUGGCUUCAAGCUCAGUUUUGGGAGAACAACCACAACUGAAAAAAUAAAUCAAGUUACGGUUCAUUGUAUGGGAAUAUAAUGUUUAUUUACAUUUUACAUACUACUCUAUGUAUUUGUUUUUUCUAGACUUUCAGCUGAUAAUAAAAUAAAUGGAUUGUAUUUAUGUACUAUAAUUGUAAUUGUGUCCCAACUGUGGUUCUACCACCAUCUCCUUAAUCGAAAGUGCAUGUAUUGUAUAUGGCACUCUCUCGUUUCCCAUUUUAUUGAGAUGGUUCAUAUAUUAAGCCUUCUCUACAACUGCCUACCGUUCAUAUUAUAAGCCAUCUCUAGAACGAUUGACAUAAUUACACCACUCCUAAAAUUCCACUAUUAUCAGGAAUGAUUAUCAUAAAAGAAUUGUCCUUAAAGAUCACAUUUCAUGGGUGGAUUCUUAUGCCAACCGUUCUUGAAAAAGAGAAGAUUUCUACUCAAAAGGUGCUAGCUAGAAUGGUCGAGGACCAAAAAAAAUUCAUAGAUUUUCAAAUAUAGUCAUUAAGUGACAAGCUUUAUAUCAAAUUUGUAAAGCCCAACAAAAUCUAAAACUUUAUAGGUAACAACUUUUUAUUUAAGACCAUUUACAGACCUAAAUAUAUGUUUUGUCUUCGAAGAGUUGAAAAUCUAGACUUUCAAAUUCCAUUUCUAGUGGCAGUGGGCUUCCAUUUUCCACCGUCAACACUUCUAUAAAAAACUCUUAUAUAAUUAUAUAGUGGUUUGAUAUUUUUAUACAUGGCAUACCAGUAAUAUAAAUUCAACGUUAUGCUUAAUUGGUCUCUUUGCUUCUAGCACACAACGUUGAUGUUGUUGGAUUGUGAUAGUUGCGUAAACAAGAAAAAUAUUUCAUUGGACUACCUAAUUAUGCUUUGCUACACAUACCGCUUUUAUUCCGAACAUCAUGGAGGGAGUGGUAGUCUUACAUGAGACUAUUCAUGAACUGCAUCGAAAGAAGCAAAAUGGUGUAAUUCUCAAGAUAGACUUUGAGAAGGCUUAUGAUAAAAUGAGGUGGAGUUUUGUUCAAUAAACUUUGCGGAUGAAAGGUUUCUUAGAUAAACGGUGCUCUUGGAUUAAUGCUUUCAUUAGGGGUGGUCAUGUGGCAAUCAAAACAAAUGAUCAGUUGGGACAGUUUUUCAAACGAAAAAGGGGCUACGACAAGGUGAUCCCUUAUCUCCUCUCUUGUUUAAUAUUGUAGUUGACAUGUUGGCUUAUUAACCAAUAGAGCGAAACAAGUGGGUCAAUUAUCCGGCUUGGUGCCACAUUUGGUGGAUGGUGGCUUGUCGAUUCUCCAAUAUGCGGAUGACACCAUUCUGUUUAGGGUUCACGAUUUCGAGAAAGCAGUGAAUACAAAAAUGCUUUUAUGUGCUUUUGAGCAGUUAUCAGGGCUCAAAAUUAAUUUCCACAAAAGUGAGGUUUAUUGCUUUGGAGAACCAAAAACUCAAGAACAUCAAUACGCACAGCUCUUUGGUUGUAGAAAAGGGGAUUACCCGUUUAGAUACUUAGGUUUACCAAUGCAUUAUAGAAAACUAAGUGUGGCAGAUUGGAAGAUAACCGAGAACGAAUUUGAAAAGAAAUUAUCCAGCUGGAAAGGGAAAUACAUGUUCGUGGGUGGAAGGCUAGUUCUUAUUAACUCUACCCUUACAAGCCUUGCGAUGUUUAUGAUGUCUUUUUUUGAGAUCCCAAGAGGUGUUUUGGAAAAAAUGGACUAUUACAGAUCGCGGGUUUUUUUGGCAAGGGGAGGAUAAUAAGAAAACGUAUAGACUAACCAAGUGGAGUAUCAUCUGUCAACCAAGGGAGGUGGGGGUUUAGGGGUGAAAAACAUUGAUACACAAAACAAAUGCCUCUUAAGCAAAUGGUUGUUUAAACUUCUGAAUGAGGAGGGUUUAUGGCAAACCAUGUUGUAGAGGAAAUACUUGCAACAACAUACAUCACAAGCUCAACGUAGACCCUCUGAUUCGCAUUUCUGGAAGGGGCUUCUAAAAGUUAGAGAUAACUUCCUAAACUUUGGAUCCUUUCAACUUAACAUUGGCACACAUAUUAGGUUUUGGGAGGACAAAUGGUUGAGGAUAGGCAUUCUAAAAGAAAUAUACCCGCAACUAUAUGCAUUGGUUCGACAAAAAAAUGUGGUGGUUGCUAAUAUCUUCCAAACCAUUCCGCUGAAUAUUUCUUUUCGUCGGGGUCUAGUGGGGCAGCUACGCGAACAAUGGAUGGAUUUAGUGGCUCAUCUUGUUCAUGUUCGAUUAAACAUAGCGAGUGACACGUUCCAUUGGGACUUGUCGACGGAUGGAUCCUUUAGUGUUCAUUCGAUGUACAAGGUGCUAAUAACUAAUGUCAAUGUGGCGUGGCACAAAGAAAUUUGGAAGGCUAAGAUUCCUUUGAAGAUUAAAAUCUUCAAGUGGUAUUUAUAUAGUGGUGUUGUACUUACCAAAGAUAAUUUACUCAAGCGUAAUUGGAAGGGAAAUGCAAAAUGUUCUUUUUGUACCCAGAAUGAGACAAUUGAUCAUCUUUUUUCCACAACCAACUUGCUAAAUUUAUUUGGUGUUUAGUUCGAAUCAUAUAUGGUGUUCGCCACCAAACAAUAUCAGACAUAUCUUUGGUUCUUGGUUAACUGGUCUAGAUAAUAGAAUGAGAAGUCACUUUAUUCUAGCAGCUUCGGCUAUAUGUUGGGCAAUCUGGUUGAGCAGGAAUGAUGCAGUGUUUGAUAUUGCUCCAAUAAAAUCUUCUUUGCAGGUGGUUUUUGGGGCUACGCAUUGGCUCCACUUCUGGACUCAACUACAACUUAGACAGGAUGAUCAAGAACUAAUAAUCAAGGAUGGCGUAGAUUGGAGGAGUUGAUGAUGCAGAUUUUUAGACAUCAUGGAUGGGGAUCCGCAUUUAGACUUUGUCUUUAGUCUCGUUUCGCCGCACUAUGUUUUGCUUUUCUCUGAGUUCUCAUAUAGUGAUAUUCCUAUAUGAGUCUGUCAUAUUCGGUUAUAGUCUCUUUGUGACAAAGGCCGGGAACUUUCAAUUCCCAUUAUCUAAAAAAUGUACAUAGAAAGAGUCAACUCACAAAAAUAUAGAAAUAGUCACCAAUGCUUGUUUGUCUUGUCUGUCAGCUCCACACCAAACCAACAUUUGUCGUACACAUUUUAAUAGAUCAAGCACUUGAUAGCUUCUUUCAAUUGUCAUAUUAAAAAUUUAGAUUGCUGCUAGGUCCAUAUUGUUUUUCUUGAACAAAUUUACUUUUAUUUUUGUCAUCUGAAGAAAUGUUCAAAAUAUAAAUUAUACAUCAUAAUGAGUUAUACAAAUUUGUAGUUGAAAACCUUUUCAUAUGAAUUAAUUUACUGCUUUAAAAUGUGAUUUUUAAAUUGUCUUUGUCGAGUGUUAAAAAACACUCGGCAAAGAGCUUCUUUGCCGAGUGUUUUCUUUUACCGAGAGUUUUUUGCUUGGCACUCGGAAAAAACACUCGGCAAAACAAUUGGCACUCGGCAAAAAGCAGAAUUCCGGUAGUGGCCUUUUAUAUUAUUUAGAUGGCCACGUUCAGUUGUUACUAUAGCUAAUUAUAGACGAAGGAAAUUCGGAUAUGAGACGCAGGUCAAUAGAAAUUAAUAAUUUUUCACCAGCUGUCCAAUAGAGUCCGAUGAAAACUAAGUGAUUUGGAGCUAUUUCAUAGCGGCAUUUCGUUCUUCCUUUCUCACGACUCUACUCUCCACACAUCUAGCUCCCCAUGCUCGCGUCGUUGCUCUAUGACACCUCGCACCCGUUUGCACCAACACCGACUUCUCUAUCUCGAGCAGUGUCCACCAUCGUUCUCGUAUGUGUCUAGAAAAGUGAGUUUAAUUUUUGUCGGCCACCCACGCACGCAAUUUGAAUUUAUUAAGCUCAUAAGUAUUGAUCAUUGCAUGGUUAAUUUAAUAUUAGUUUGGUCAACCUAGUUACAAUAUAAUAUUUGUUGGUUAGUUUUUUAUAAUUAGAUUUUACAUUUAUCUACUAGCAAUUUUUUGUGUUUAAAUAUAAUACGGUAUUAUCAAAUAAUUUAAUUUUUAAAAGCAUAUAAAAUAUCGAUAGGUUCAUAAAUUGUAUGUCAAUCGUUUCGAUCGGCAUACUUCAUAUGUGCCUCACAUGUGAGAUAUAUUGUUUUAGAAUCAUUUCUAUUUGGACAGUUUUAUGACAACUGACUAUAUGCUAUUUAUGGACAAUCUAGGUUUGCCGAGGGUGUGUAAAGGAACAUGGUGAAAAGAUAAUAAAAUUAUGCAUAAGCAACUUAAUAUUUUUAUAUAUGUCAUAUCAUCACUACUAGAAAAAUGGUCUUUAAUUUACAAACAACGAGGUGUGUUGUUACUAAAAAUGGCAAUGGAGCGUUGAUUCGUGAUUUUCCGAGGAGAAUUCCUUCAUUAGAGGAUGAGAAGUUUUUCCCCCACGGGAAUGUAAAUGGGGAAUAAUUCUCCCCGACGAGUAAACAGGGAUAGAGAUGGCCAGGGAAUUAUUUCACAUCCCGGUUUCCCUUGGGAGCGUUAAACUUGCACAUGGCAAUGAUGUCAUCUAACCGUUAAUAAUAAAAAUAAAUAAUUACCAUAUUAAGAGAUCACUUAUUAUACAAAUAUGUUCAUUUUGAUGUAUGCAUAACAAUUUCUUACAUCAGAUAAUGUGUCUAAGUAAAAGUGUUUUGUAUUAAUAACAAAGAACGUAUGUCCUAAUUAUAAUUUAAUCAGGGACGAGUACCCUGUGGGGGAUUUAUCCUGUGGGGAAUGAGGAUGGGUAAAAAAGAUAUCCCCUAUUGAGAAAAAAAUUGUCACGGAAACGGGAUAGAGAGCUAUUCUCCAACAAGAAAUUUUCCGUUGCCAUCGUUAAUUGUUUCGGUUGGUUUGUUGUGGAACUGAAAGAUGUAUUUAUUCCCCAAUUCACAAAAGCAAAAAAAUGGUCAAAAAGUAAACACUAGGAAAAAUAAUCUAAUCUGACUCGUCAAUUGGUCAUGGAUGAUGAUACGCAGAUUGUUGGAUAUAGUUACGACGCUAUAUGAGGUGCAAAAAGUAAUUAAAGAUAUUACUCUCUACGUACUUUUUUAAUUGCCGCGGUUUAGUUUAAAAAUUAACUAGCAAGCAACAAAUAUUCGAGAACGGAGGUAGUAUAUACGAAGGUGGUGUGCUUUAAUUUCUCGCUGUUGACUUCUUUUUUUGGGCUGGGUGGGGGGGGGGAGGGGUGACUCUUUCAAUAUAUGUUGGUGAGCACAAGAUUAGAGACAUGUUUGUUUCGCUGUCUAACUUACUACACAUUGUCAAACUUUUCUGUUUAAAAUUAGUUCUUCAAUUCGGACCACUAAUCUUAAGCAAAUAGACCCUAGAUGGUUCAAUAAACAUUUUUUCUUGUUUAGCCAACUAUCACAGUCCAGCAACGGCAACACGGUCUUCAACAAAAUUGAAAGGACAGAGUACACGAAAAGUAUGGUAGGUUUAAACGUUCAAUUAAGAUGCUGGGCAGGUUCUAGAUGCUGGAGACUACUUCAAGUCGCCUGAUUACUAGACAUUUUAAAAUUUGGUUCACGUACUAUGUGAUUACUAGAAAUCUUCAACACGUAUGCAUGGUUUAAACACUGAAAUAAGAUAACCUGUAUUGUGUCAUCAGCAGGUCCGGGCUGCUAGAGACUAUUUCUUCAGGUCGGCUGAUAUGUUCAACCAAAGACUUAUUCAGCCACUGAUAUGUACACGUCGCCACAUGCGCUGUGGCAGGCUAUAUAACCUCACCAUCUCCAUGCCCAAAGCAUCAACAACAUACACACAAGCAAAACAAAAAGCUAAGAAGCUCCGUAGCUAAAUUCAGAUAUUACAAACACAAAAAAGGAGUGCAGAACCAAAAUGGCUGCCUCGACCUUCCUUCUCAUUGCUUUUCUAGCAUUGAUCACUUCUCAGGCCAUUGCCUCUGAUCCUAGCCCGCUCCAAGACUUCUGUGUUGCCGAUAAAGACUCUCCGGGUAUGAGUGCUCUCCUUUUGACUCAAGCAGUGUUCUUAUAAUAUAUACCUGAUUAAAUAAGGAUCAUUUGUUCAAACACACAUCUACAUACAAUAAGCAUUUCGGGGUAUAUAUAUGCAUGUCCUAUUAACCUGUUCUCCAUCUAACUGUUUGUCUUCGUCUAUGCAUGCAUCCAGUGAAGGUGAAUGGAUUUGUUUGCAAGGACCCUAUGGCUGUGAACGCUGACGACUUCUUCAAGGCUGCAAAACUUGACCAGCCAAGGGACACCACCAAAAGCAAGGUGGGAUCCAACGUUACUCUAAUCAAUGUCAUGCAGCUGCCUGGACUCAACACGUUGGGGAUCUCGUUGGCUCGCAUUGACUACGCACCAUUAGGUCAGAAUCCUCCACACACACACCCACGUGCCACUGAGAUCCUCACUGUGCUUGAGGGGACACUCUACGUCGGAUUUGUCACCUCCAACCAAGCUGAUAGAAGCAACAGGCUAUUUGCCAAGGUUCUCAACAAGGGCGAUGUGUUUGUAUUCCCCCAAGGACUAAUCCACUUCCAGUUCAACCCAGUACAUGACAAGCCAGCAGUCGCGCUCGCUGCUCUAAGUAGCCAGAACCCUGGAGCUAUUACUAUUGCCAAUGCAGUCUUUGGAUCAAAGCCACCUAUCUCGGAUGAUGUCCUAGCUAAGGCCUUUCAAGUGCAAAAGGGGACAAUUGAUUGGCUUCAAGCUCAGUUCUAGGAGAACAACCACUACUGAAAAAAUCAAGUCUGAGUUCAACAUAUGAGAAUAAAGAAAUGUACUUGUAUUUUACAUACUACUCUAUGUGUUAACCUUUUUCUAGGUUGCGACUGAUAAUAAAAUAAAUGUUCAGUAUUUAUGUACUAUAAUUGCAAUUGUGUCCCUGUUGUGGCUCCACCACAGUGUCCUUAAUCAAAAAGCGAAUGUAAGGUAUACAACAGUCUAUCAUUUCCCAUUUUAUUGGAAUGAUACAUAUGGUAAUACAUCUCUACAAUUGUGUACAGUUCAUAUAGUAAGCAAUCUAGAACUGUCUUGUUGCUCCGUAGCUUUCGAACCACUCCUUGAAAUGUAUUUUAUAAGAGCGAAUGACAUAAUUAGACCACACUUGAAAUUCCAUCCAUUAUAAUUCAACCCACUACUGGACCUUGAAUUAAAUACCAAUUCUCAAGAGCAACUAUCACAAAAUGCGGUAGUACCACCAAUAAGGAGAGACCAAAUCAAAGAAGGUCUAAGAAUUUCAGCGGUAUCGUGGCAGCUAUGGCCUGUGGCAGAGCUGGUGGCCAGCGCCCAGUGUGCGGUGCAGCGGGCAGGCCGGAUGUGGCAUGGGGCACGUCGAUGCGAGCGACAGGCGGAUGUGAAGUAGCACGGGCAUGCAAACGCCUAGGGUUUGGGAUGGUCGCUUGAUCGGGUAUGUUUCUUUGGACUAUGGGAAUGAAUCUUCCACUACAUGCAUACAGUAACAGAAGUCAAGUAACAUAUUAGGUCACAUCCACAAUUCGACAAUAUAAGAUUAGUUAUAUUUACUUUACAAAUGCAACACAAAACUACAAACUCGUGAGAAAUCUAACAGUCCAAUUACAGUAGUUAAAGGCACUAUGCCAAAAUAACACAAAGUUAAAGAGACACCAAAUUAAAACACUUCACUACCAUAUGAGACUAGUGAUGCGGGUAAAAGUAACAAAUCACUAUUAGUCGGGGCUCAUGAUAAAAGAAAAUAAAUCAUUUUAUUGCUUAUAUCCCUUAUUUUUUCUAAAAUCUCCUUGUGUGAAAAAUAUGUUAAGAAUAUGAUUAUUGAAAUGGAUAAAACAUGAGUAAUGUAUAUAGGACCAUAAUAGAGAUUUUUUAGUUAUUGUAAAUUGUAAUCAAAGACGUGUUUUGCCGAAACUGAGAGCACCUAGAGGGGGGGUGAAUAGGUGAUCCUGUAAAAACUUGAAACUUAAUCCACAAAAAUUGAUUAGGAGUUAGCACAAUUAAGCCAAGUGGCUAGAGAGGAGAACUUGCACAACACGAUAACCACAAAGAGAUCAACACAGAGAUGGCACAGUGGUUUAUCCCGUGGUUCGGCCAAGUCCAACACUUGCCUACUCCACGUUGUGGCGUCCCAACGGACGAGGGUUGCAAUCAACCCCUUUCAAGCGGUCCAAAGACCCACUUGAAUACCAUGGUGUUUUGCUUUCACUUUACUAUAUCCCGCUUGCGAGGAAUCUCCACAACUUGGAGCCUCUCGCCCUUACACUUUGAUGUUCACAAAGAAGCACGGAGUAAGGAAGGGAUGAGCAACGCACACAAGACACGAAAUCAGAGCGACAACACGCACACAAGUCGCAACAAGAGCUCACAACACAACUCAGCGAGUUCACAACUCAAAUGGAGCUCUAAUUGCUAUCGCAAAGAAUCAAAUGUGCGGAAUCGAAGUCUUGGUGCUUAGGAAUGCUUAGAGAAUGCUUGGUGUGCUCCUCCAUGCGCCUAGGGGUCCCUUUUAUAGCCCUAAGGCAGCUAGGAGCCGUUGAGAGCAAACGUCAGUGAAAGAAACAGGUGGGCCCGGCUUUAAAAACCGCCAGUGGAAACCUAUUUCCACUGGCGGUUAUCUUAACACAACCGCCAGUGGAAAUAGGAUGUUUCCACUGGCGGUUGUGUUACACAAACCGCCAGUGAAAAUUGAUUUCCACUGGCGGUUAUCUUAAGAUAACCGCCAGUGGAAACAUCCUAUUUCCACUGGCGGUUUUUAAAGACAACCGCCAGUGGAAAUCAAUUUUCACUGGCGGUUUUUAAAGACAACCGCCAGUGAAGUGUCUGUUAUAAAUGCCCCUCUUCCCUCGACAGUGAACUGUAUGCUCGCAGCCAACUUCCAUUGGAGGCGAUUUUGGAGGUCCAGAAUUCACAAAAUACAUGGGGAGAGGUUUUGAUCUUCAUUUUUUGGAAGAAGAUUGCUAAGAAAGGUUGGUUUGUGUUGCUAAUGUCAAUUUUUAUUCAUUUUUGCUCAAUUUUAGCCACAUUUUGGAUCUAGGGUUUCACCAUUGGAGAGAGAGUGUAUCCUCUCUCAAUUUUAGCCACAUUUUAGCCACAUUUUUGCUCUAUUCGCUCAAAUAAAGUUGUUUAAUAUGGUUAGAUUUUGUCUAUCCUCUCUCCUUUUUCAUGUUUAGUUCUCAAAUCAGUUUAUCCAUGACAUAUUAAGUUGUUUAAUGAAUGGUUCAUGUGUUGUGUGGAGAGAGAAGAAGAUAGGUUUGGUAAUUAAGAUUGUUUUUAUUAGUUGCUAUGAAAGUUGGUUUAAUUAUGUUUUAAUUGCCAAUUAUUGUUCAUCUUUGCUCAAUUUUGGAACUAGGCCUUCACCAUGUGUUAAAGAGAAGAGUAUGGCUAGGAAAGUUUAGUUUUAUGUUCCUCUUGCCAAUUUUUGUUCAUUUUCCUUAAAUUUAGCCACAUUUUGGAUAUAGGGUUUCACCCCUUCAUCCUUCCCAACAGGUGGUGAUGGAGAGGACAUCCUGGAUGUAUAACUUAUCAAGGCUAGAUCCAUCAUACAUAUCCGAGGUCCAUAGGUUUAUUGAUGUCGCUACGAACCAUGCUUGGAGAACAAAGACAAAACACAUAUAUUGUCCAUGCAUGGACUGCAAAAAUGCUGCUGUAUUUAAUGACACAGAACAAAUCAUAUCUCAUCUGGUAUGCCGAGGAUUUAUGAAGGAUUACACAAUUUGGACAAAGCAUGGAGAGGGUAGCUCUUCGCCUUAUACGACUGGAAACCCUGAGAACAUCGACGACAGAUUUCAGUUCGUUCACGAGACACACCAACCUCUUCCACAGAGCGAACAUGUAGUGCAAAAUGUUACUGAUCAUGGUUACGCUCGAGGAAAUGAACAUGAUAGACCUCAUGUUCUGCCAAGUGUUAUGGAUGAGGAAGAUGCAGAGUUGCUAGAGGCAAUGUUGCGUCGUCAUACAGAUCAAUCGAUGUUCUUAAUGAAAGGUAUGGAGUCCCUGAAGAAGGCAGCAGAAGAGCCUUUGUACGACGAGUCUAAGGGUUGUACCAAAGAGUUCACGACGCUCCGGUCUGUGCUAAAGCUGUUGAUGUUAAAAGCUAAAUAUGGUGUGUCUGAUGCUGGCUUCGAUGCGUUCUUGAGUAUUAUCGCAGACAUGCUUCCAAAGGAGAACAAUGUGCCUGCUAACACGUACUAUGCAAAGAAACUAAUCAGUCCGCUCACUAUGGGUGUGGAGAAGAUCCACGCGUGUAGAAAUCACUGUAUCCUUUAUCGAGGUGAUGAUUAUAAAGACUUGGAGAGCUGCCCAAAGUGCGGUGCAAGUAGGUACAAGACGAAUAAAGACUAUCGAGAGGACGAAGAGUGUGUUGCAUCCGUGUCUAAAGGGAAGAAGCGAAAGAAAGCCCAAAAAAAGACUUCAAAAUCCACGAGCAAAGAAAAAGAAGUAGACUAUUAUGCGCUCAAAAAGAUUCCUGCUUUGGUGAUGUGGUACCUCCCCGUCGUCGAUCGAUUGAGGUGUUUGUUCGCUAAUCCUGAGGAUGCCAGACUUAUGAGCUGGCAUGCUUCUGAUGAGCACAAAAACGAUGGGAAGCUUCGACAUCCAGCCGAUGGGAAGCAGUGGCAAGAUUUCAAUGACAACCACCGAGACUUUGUCGAUGAACCGAGAAAUGUUAGGUUCGCACUGAGUACUGAUGGAAUGAACCCAUUUGCUGAGAGGAGCAGCAAGCAUAGCACAUGGCCGGUGAUCCUCACCAUAUACAACCUUCCUCCAUGGUUGAUGCAGAAACGGAAGUACAUUUUGCUAACCAUCCUUAUUUCUGGACCUACACAACCUGGAGUUGACAUGGAUGUAUUUUUGGAGCCCUUAAUGGAGGAUAUGAAAAUAUUGUGGGAAACAGGUGUUCAAAUGUUGGAUGAGUAUCGUAAAGGUUCAUUCACGCUGAGAGCAAUUCUUUUUGUUACGAUCAACGAUUACCCUGCUCUCUUCACAUUAUCAGGCCAGUUUAAGGGAAAGGUUGGUUGCACAGUAUGCAUUGAUGGAACUGCUUACGUAUCCCUUGCUGCAUCUAGGAAGAUAGUUUACAUGAGGCACAGACGCUUUUUAUUGGAAGGACACAGGUACCGCAUGCGAAAGAUGGAUAAGUACUUCGACAAUAAUGGUGAACUACAUUCUACUGCUCCAUCGGGUAACAAUAGAGGUCAUAGAGUUUUUGAAAUAGUCAGGAAUAUCAAGUUUGUUUUCGGGAAGAAGACAAAAGACGGAAAAACAAGGAAGGAUGUCAAACCAGCUUCGGGGGCUAUAUUCAAGAAGAAGUCUAUUUUCUUCGAGUACUUGCCUUACUGGAAAGAGUUAGAUGUGCGGCAUGCGAUCGAUGGUAUGCACGUUCAGAAGAACGUGUUUGAAAGCAUAAUGGGCACCUUGCUAGACAUAAAGGGCAAAACAAAAGAAGGGCUCAAUUCACGCAUGGACUUGGUAGAUUUAGGCAUAAAAAAGGAACUACAUCCCGUUCUUCAAGAAAAUGGGAAGUACCAUCUCCCAGCAGCAAGCUACAAUCUCAAUGUAGAUGAGAAACAUGCGAUGUGUGUUUGGCUCAAGAAUUUGAAAGUCCCAUCCGGAUUCUGCUCUAGCAUACGGAGUAUUGUGUCAAUGAAAGACCUGACAAUCACCAACUACAACUCACAUGAUUGCCAUGUUAUGCUGACUACAUUCCUACCUAUUGCCAUCUGGGCUAUAAAUCCUUUGUUUUUAAAGAUGGCAAUCACACGGUUGUGCUACUUUUUCAACAGGAUUUCACAAAAGGUAAUUGGUCGUGAUGAGUUGGCAUCUCUUCAGGAAUUCGCAGUGGAGACAAUAUCACAGUUUGAGAUGUGUUUCCCUCCAUCGUUCUUUGAUAUUAUGGUGCACCUUGUGGUGCACUUGGUGCCACAAAUAGAGGCAUUGGGUCCUAUGUACUUGCAUGAAAUGUGGACGUAUGAGCGUUUCAUGUCAAUACUGAAUGGCUAUGUAUCAACCCGUGCUCGUCCUGAGGCAUCCAUGAUAGAGUGGUACUGUACCGAAGAGGCCAUUGAGUCCGGAGGUCCAUUCUGCAAUAGUAUCCUAAAAGACCAGGUUGCAAUAGGUCUGCCUCCGUCACGACACGAGGGUAGACUGUAUGGAAGCGGGAGGAUGGGACGGAAAUCUUUCAUCCCACCGGAUUACGAUAUAGUACUUGAGGCACAUCAGAGCAUCCUACAUCAGCUAACGAUAAUGGAGCCAUUUAUCCAACAACACAUCAAUGAGCUUCGCGAGCAAAAUCCUGGGCAUACGGAUGAUUGGGUAAUGAAGCAACAUAAGCAGCGAUUCAACACAUGGCUAAUGGUGAAGGACAUUCCACGUGGAGAAACAAUAGAAGAACAAACCAUCAAGGGCUUGGCAUCUGGACCAUCACGCCAGGUCACAACAUGGCAAACCUAUGACAUUAGUGGAUUCACAUUUUGUACCAAGUCCAAGGACAAAAAGAGCAUGUCACAAAACAGUGGUGUUCGAUGCAAGGCCAUAGAUGAUGAAACUGGUGAGAUUAUUACAUAUUUUGGCUUUAUUGAGGACAUAUGGGAACUAGACUAUGGUACAUUUCAGAUCUCGGUUUUCCGAUGUCAAUGGGUUGAAGACAAACAUGUCACGGUAGACAACUAUGGGGUCAGAGUUCUUGAUCUAAGUAAGGUAGGUUACAAAGAUGACCCAUGGAUCCUUGCUAAUCGUGCUGCACAGGUCUUCUAUGCUGAACAGAUCAUUUCUAACAAUGAGAAGAAAAGCACCGACAAACCGAAGCAUGUAGUUUUUCCUGGAAAACAACAAGCUAUAGGAGUUGAUGGUGUAUCUGAUUUAGAGAACUUUAACCAGUUCAACGACAUGUCUCUUUUCAUAGACCAUCCAACCAAGAUAAGGAACGUUGAGCGAAGCAUCCCACGCAAUUCGUUGCCCUGGGUACGCCACGAUGGACAAGGCAGAACAAUAGCUUCCUAGAUUAUAUACUUGUCAUGUAAUUGAUUAUUGUUAGGAACUUGUCAUGUAAUUGAUUAUUGUUGUUAGCGACAAACCGAAGCAUGUAAUUGUCUUCAUUCAAUUUUCGUGGCUACCAUUUACAAUUUUACAUGACUUUCUAUUGACUUUAUAGAGAGAGAGGAGAGGGAGAGAGAGAGGAGAGAGAGGAGAGGGAGAGGAGAGAGAGGAUGGAGAGAGAGGAGAGAGAUAGGAUGGAGAGAGAGGAGAGAGAGAGGGGAUGGAGAGAGAGGAUGGAGAGGGAGAGGGGAGAGAGAGUGGAGAGGAGAUAGAGGAUGGAGAGGGAGAGGGAAGAGAGAGUGGAGAGGAGAGAGAGGAUGGAAAGAGAGGAGAGGAUGGAGAGGGAGAGGGGAGAGAGAGGGGAUGGAGAGAGAGGAUGGAGAGGGAGAGGAGAGAGAGAGGGAGAGGGGAGAGAGAGGGGAUGGAGAGAGGUAAAAGUAUACUAAACAAUAUAUAAAAGUAUACUUAAUAUAAUAUAUAAAAAGUGAAGUAAAACAAUAUAUAAAAAACUAUGUUAAAUAAUAAUAAAAAACAAUUUCUACUGGCGGUUGUCAUAGAGAACCGCCAGUAGAAAUGGUUUCCACAGACUGUAGAAGCCAUUUCUACUGGCGGUUCUCUAUGACAACCGCCAGUAGAAAUGGUUUCUACUGGCGGUUCUCGUUGUCAACCGCCAGUAGAAAUGGCUUCUACAGUCUGUGGAAGCCAUUUCUACUGGCGGUUCUCGUUGUCAACCGCCAGUAGAAAUGGCGCCUAUAUAAAGGUGGCGCGCGGGAGCCGAAAAUUUUACAAGUCCCUGGCGCCCUUUCACUUGAAGACGACGCCGUCAGGCUGCUGGAUUUCGACCCCGAGGGUUUUCGCCGGCGAUCGUCCCCGCGCCCGUCCCCACGCCGCCAUUCCCGCCCCCGCACCGCCGUCUCCAGGUUUUUUCUCUUUCCCCUAAUCUGUACCGCCGCCGUCUACUACCGCGCCGGGCCGCCGCCGCCGCCGCCGCGUUUUAGUAAACCCUAGGGCACGCGCCGCCGCCGAGAGGGAGGAAGAGAGAUGAAGGAGAGGGAGAGGGAAGAGAGAGGAGGGAGAGGGAGAGGGAGGAGAGAGGAGGGCGCACGCGCCGCCCGCCGCCGAGAGGGAGGAAGAGAGAGGAAGAGAGAGGGAGAGAGAUAGAGGGAGGGAGAGGAGGGUGAGAGAGAGAGAGGAGGGAGAGGAGAGAGAUAGAGAGAGGGAGAGAGAUAGAGGGAGAGGAGAGAGAUAGAGGGUUCAUACAAAUGUAUUCAAAUGUGUUCAAAUGUAUUCAAAUGUAGAGAGAGGGAGAGAGAUAGAGAGAGAGGGAGAGAGAUAGAGGGCUCAUACAAAUGUAUUCAAAUGUGUUCAAAUGUAUUCAAAUGUAGAGAGAGGGAGAGAGAUAGAGAGAGAGGGAGAGAGAUAGAGGGCUCAUACAAAUGUAUUCAAAUGUGUUCAAAUGUAUUCAAAUGUAGAGAGAGGGAGAGAGAUAGAGAGAGAGGGAGAGAGAUAGAGGGCUCAUACAAAAGAAGGGCUCAUACAAUACUUAUUUUUAUUCAUAUGUGUGUUAUAUAUGUGUUCAAAUGUAUGUGUUCAAUAUAUAUAUGUGUUCAUAUGUGUUCAAAUGUAUGUGUUCAAUAUAUAUGUGUGUUCAUAUGUGUUCAAAUGUAUGUGUUCAUAUGUGUUCAAAUGUAUGUUGAAUAUAUACAUUGUAAUUUUAUCCGUCACAACUCGAUAAUAUACGUAUCCGAUCCGAUCCGAAUUCGAUCUGAACUCGAUAAUUUCCGUACGACUCUCCCUCUCUCCCUCUCUAUACGUCCUAUGCGACUCUCCCUCUCUCCCUCUCCUCGUCCUAUACGACUCUCCCUCUCUCUAUACGUAACUCGAUAAUAUCCAUACGAUUCUCCGUCUCUCCCUCUUUAUACGUCCUAUGCGACUCUCUCCCCGUCCUACACGAUACUAUACGACUAUACGAUACUAUAUGGUUAGGGUUUAGGGUUAUGGUUAGGGUUAAGGUUAGGGUUAAGGGUUAUAGUUAGGGUUAGGGUUAAGGGUUAGGGUUAGGGUUAGGGUUAGGGUUAGGGUUAGGGUUAGGGUUAAGGGUUCGAGUUUUGGGUUAAGGGUUCGAGUUUUGGGUUAGGGUUAGGGUUAAGGGUUAGGGUUAGGGUUAGGGUUUUGGGUUAGGGUUAGGGUUAGGGUUAAGGGUUUAGUGCCCGCGAGGAUGUAUUUAAUUAUACUAUUUGUUAAUAUGAAUUUAAUUAUUGCUUAUGUAUUUGUAUAUAUAUAGCUCAAUGAGUUCUCCGAUCAAGGACCAAGGAUUAGUGCCCGAGCACAUGGACAAGAGUGUUGCUCAAGAACAAUCCAGCAGUGAAGGAUAUGAAACGCCUAGCGACCCUUUUCCUACCACUAGCAUAGAUAGGGCCGCUCUCCGUGAGUUGCAACGUGACCCUACUUAUGAUCCACGAGAAGCUGAGGUAAAAGUACACAUCUUUAGCUUCGUAUGUGUACCCUACUGAUUUCACAUGCAUGAUCUCUUGUGCAUUUUAUUACAUGAAUAGGAGGUCGUGUCUGAAUUUCGUGCGAUACUCGAAGAAGCCGUGGCACGAUACGAAGACGUACCGGAGCCGACCCAAGACGCACCGGAACAGACCAAGACAACAACCGAGACAUCAAGGAAAAGGAAGCAGAGCGAUCGAAAAAGAGGUGACAGGGGGCUGAACAAAUUUCCCGACAAAACAUACAAAAUCUCAGACGUGAGCCCGAAAGGUCAGCCCCUGGCUCCAGAAGAGGCACUACCUAAGUUUCGGAAUGCACUUGGGUUUUUAGUUAGAGAUAAUCUUGACAUAACAAUACGACAGUGGAGAGAUGUGUCAGAUGAUGUCAAGAAUCAAAUAUGGAAUAAGCUAUUAAUGAGGUUCGUUCUGCCUCGGGGUUCAGAAGAACUCGUGAAGGAAUACACGAUGAAGCAGCUUGCAAUAAAUUUCCGAAACUGGAGGUCUGAGAUGAACACAAAGUUUGCAAAGAAAGGUCUGGACCCGACCAAAAAAUAUAAAAUCUCAGCAGGUCAGUGGGCAGUAUUUCUAGAGCAGAGGAGCAGCCCUGAUUUCAUAUCUCUAAGUGAGGCAAAUUCAGAACUAUCAAAGAAGAACAAGUACCGCCACCACCUAGGCACAGGUGGUUACAAGCGUCAGGUUCCUAAAUGGACACAAGAAGACGCCGAGAAGAAGGCUGCAGGGUUGCCGACGCUGUCCGAGCAACUUGGUGAAAGGGCGGCAAAUUGGCUCCGUGCUAGAAAACCAAGGGAAACCGAGACCGGUGUAUCUUUUGAUGAUCCCAUUGUCGAAGAAGCGGCAAAAAACAUAUAUACAAUGGCAGCUAAGCAGAGCGAAGGAACUUUUAAGCCACAAAGGGAAAGAGACAUCCUAACGGCUGGUCUCGGUAACCCUGAGCAUCCUGGUCGUGUACGAGGAAUCUCGUCUAAGGAAGGAUGGAAGGAAGGAUUCGGACCACAGUGGGAAGGUCUGUACAAGAAACGUGAUCGAUACAAGGAAGAGAUCGCGGAUUAUUUUAAGGAGGAGGCCAAGAAAGAGUUCAAAGCCAUGAUGUCUCAAAUGCUAUCGAAUCCUCCUCCAGAAUUGAUGCAACAGUUGGCGAGUGCGAUGUCUGUUCAAUAGAUGACCACUCCACAGAUACAAAUAAUUCCAGCAGCUCAACCGCCGGCUUCCACAGAUUGUACGACAUUACCAAGCUCUGUUGCUUCAACGGGAAAUAAGGACCGUUAUCCAGUUGAUGACAUCACAAGGCCUGUGGCGUGCACACUGGUUAUAAGAUAUGGUAUUAACAAUAAACGUACAAAGAUAGUAGCCACAGGCCUUGCGAUCCCAGGACGCAAGUUCCAUGGAAACGAUAUUCCAGAUGAUUAUUGCAAAGUAGAAGUGACGACGGUCGUCCAAGGAUACGAGGACGACAUGCUAGACAUCCCUGGGCCCGAAGGUAUCGAGAAACUUGGACAAGCUAUCAAGAAUUUUAUCCUUUGGCCUCGAAGGGAUGUCGAAUUGCUUGAUUGGUCGAAUUCGUCGCAGGCGUCGCAGGCCCAACCGUCUCCGCCUUCUCAAAUUGCUGUUCCUAUUGUACAUCCAUCCUCACCUCCUCAAACUUCACAUGCUGCUCCUCAUCCUUUUUCUGACCCACCGUCUCCGCCACAAGCAUCACCAUUCAGGGCUCCACCACCUUCUCCUCCCCAUCCUCUUGGUGACCCACUGUCUACGCCACCAUCAAGGGAUCCACCUUCUCCACAGCCAUCAAACGAUCCACGGCCAUCAAAGAAAUCUAAACUUCCUAUACCAAAAUUGGUGUCCCCGUAUCAGAAAAAGAAGAGUAAAGCUACUACUGCUGGCACAGUUAGGUUUUUGAAAGGGAUUGGACGGAGCCUCACGUCACAAACUGUUGAUUUGGCCGAGCACGAGGAGUCUGCAAAAAAGGCUGAGGCAACGGCCACAAAGAUAAAGAAGCCAACUAAGGCAGAUUACAAAAACGUGCCUAAAAAAUAUGUGUCGGGCAGACCUCUACUACCUCUUGACAAACUAAGAAAGGUCCCGGCUGGUGUUAAAAGGUUGCAUGACUGGUACAUGCGGGCAUCAUCGGUUGGCAUCGACACCAUCAGUGUGCAUAUACCAGACCAUGCUUUUAUUGGUUCGAACCAAAAGGCCGUUGUUACAUUCGAGGACAUGUGGUUAAUGAUGAACCUUCAGAGACUCGACGUGCAACUUGUAACGAUGUUUGCAUUGUAAGUGUCGCUCAUACUUCCACAUAUGUGUGUUAUUAUUAGUGAGCUGUAUAAAAUUUCAAUAUCUGACAUGCACGUGUGACUUGCAGAAUGCAACAUGAUCAGCAGGAGAUUCUUUACGGUACCAAGCCCAAUGCUAGUGCCAGUAAAAGGGUUGGGUAUCUCAACCUAAUACUUAUAUCCGAGGAAAGCCACACUUUUAGAAUCGGGAAAGACAACGAUGAAAUACAGGGAAAGACGGACGAAGAAGUUGAGAAGCGUAUAAAGGAAAUGAAGAAGGAUUUUGAAGCUCGAUACGCCACAUACAUAGGACAUGCAAUGCUUCAAUUUCAAGACAGGGAAGCCAUAAUGGCCCCGUACAACUUUAAGUAAGUGUGAUUUUGCAUAAAUAAAAUUAAUAAUUUCAAUACACAUGCAUCACAAAUUUGAUUCGUACAGGGACCACUGGAUAUGCUUCCUCAUUUAUCCUAAGGUUGGAAAGGUGCUGGUGCUCGACUCCUUGAACUUCGACCCUUCGACAUAUGCAACAUUCCUCAGCAUCUUAGAGCUGUAAGCCUUUUCUAUGCAUGCAUACUUUUAUCGAUUAAAAUUUGAGAAUAACAUGGUGAUUCUAUUUGAGAUCACAGUGCUUAUAGAUUCUAUAAGAUGAGAGGUGGAAAGUACGACCUGUCGAAAAAACAAGUGCCACUAGACAUCCAUCAUCACUGGCCGGUAAGUAUGUGAUUUUAUGAAUACAUAUCAUACACAAUGUUGCAACUAAAUAACCAAUCUCCUGUUAUGUAGUGCCACAAGCAACCACAAGGAUCGGUCCUAUGUGGAUUCUAUGCGUGCGAGUUCAUGAGAGUGAACGGACGAUACAUCACGAACCCUGACAAGGUAUUAUUAGUAAUAGUUAAGUAUGUAUUUAUGUCAUUAAAGAUGCAAAUGUGUUAUUAUUGAGUAUAAAUAGAUGAUGUUUAUAAAAUUCCUUUACAGCAAUUUCAACGAGGAAACCCGGAGAACUUGACCGAAGCUGCAUUGUAUGGCAUAGUCGAGGACCUCUGCACAUUCAUAUUGAAAGAGGUCAUUCCCGCAGAAGGAAAAUAUCACGAUGCUUCCGGAACAUUAGCUUUGCCAGAGUUUAGAAUACUAACAGAAAUUAGUAGAUUAUCUCUUAGCCGAGAUAGUUAUUAGAGCUUAGGUGAAAACUUAUGAUGUAUAGAAUGCAUGAAGGAUAUAUGGUUGUAAACAGAAUACUUUCAUGUCGUAGAAUGCAUGAAAACUUAAGAUGUAUAGAAUUUAAUUUCAUGUUGCUUUCAAUAUCAAUAUAGAUCUAUAUAUAUAUAUAUAUAUAUAUGUUUGUGUGUGUGUGUAAAUAAAUAUAUAUAUAAUUCAGUAUUGUUUGAAAUUUUGAAAAAAGGCGGGAAAGUUCCACUGGCGGCUGAAUAAAGAAAACCGCCAGUGAAAAGUGCAUUUCCACUGGCGGUUUGCUUUAUAAAACCGCCAGUGGAAAUGCAUUUUCACUGGCGGUUUUCUUUAUUCAGCCGCCAGUGGAAAUGAACUUUUCACUGGCGGUUCCUUAAGAAAACCGCCAGUGAAAAUGCACUUUUCACUGGCGGUUCCAAAAUAACCGCCAGUGGAAAUGCUGAUUUCCACUGACCCCUAGCACUGGCGGUACUGAAAAACGCCAGUGUAAAUAUGUUUAGAACCGCCACUAUAGAGCUUCUGUGUACUAGUGAAAAUGGCUGCCUCGACCUUAUUUCUCAUUGCUUUUCUUGCAUUGGUCACUUCUCAUGCCAUUGCCUCUGAUCCUAGCCUGCUCCAAGACUUCUGUGUUGCGGACAAAGACUCUCCGGGUAUAAGUGCUCUCCUCUUGACUCAAGCAAUGUUCUUAUAAUAUAUACCUGAUUAAAUAAGGAUCAUUUGUUCAAACACACAUCUACGUACAAUAAGCAUUUCAGGGUAUAUAUGCAUGUCCUAUUAACCUGUUCUCCAUCUAAUUGUUUGCCCUCGUCUAUGCAUGCAUCCAGUGAAGGUGAAUGGAUUUGUUUGCAAGGACCCUAUGGCUGUGAACGCUGACGACUUCUUCAAGGCUGCAAAACUUGACCAGCCAAGGGACACCACCAAAAGCAAGGUGGGAUCCAACGUUACUCUAAUCAAUGUCAUGCAGCUGCCUGGACUCAACACGUUGGGGAUCUCGUUGGCUCGCAUUGACUACGCACCUGUUGGGGACUUGUUCUCAAAUGCUAUAAGUUAAGAACAAGGCAACACAGAGAAUGUUAAACGAUAAAGUCAUUCGUCCUUUGAGGCAUUAUUUCCCUAAGGAUAUAACGAUCUCCGGACGAAGGUCAUGAAGGACGAGCCUUCAUCAGCACAGUAUAUAUUAAUGAAAGACGAAGCAUAUGAAACAUAAAAGAUAGCAUGAAUAAUCAUAUAACAUCAUUCAUUUAACUUUAUUAUAUCAUCAUAGAGAAAUAGAGACAAUAUCGAAUUGUAAAUGUACCUUCGGUUUGGAAGGAGAUGAAAAUACAAGUGUGACGCAGAAGCAAAUGCCAAGUCAACGUGAACAGUACGGGGGUACUGUUCACCUAUUUAUAGGCACGAGGUACAACCCAUACAAAAUUACAUACAUGCCCUUUACAUUUGGUGAUAAUUCUAUAGCACUCUAUUGAGGUCUAAAUGGUCUUUUCAUCUUUAAGUCGGUUCCCUUCUCUGCGAACAUGCCGAAGCUUUCCUGCUUCACAGCUUCGGCGCUGUGUCAACCUUUGUAGCUUUUUGCUUUCUGAUACGAGUCCGAAGAUACCUGCUCACACAUUUUAAGCCGCUUCUCCCUUGAAGACCUUCGGCGACGAAGCAUAGACCCAACAGUAGCCCCUUUCGUGGUGCUAGAUCGUUUUUCGUAACAAGCUUGAUCCGUGAAAAAAGUCUCUUAAGCUUCGGGGAGCCGAAGGUCCAAAAAACACCUUCCCUGAGCUCGUUGCCGAGAAACGAUUUAAUUUCCCAGCACGCAGCGGUCCCACCUUGCAGAGUUUACUGUUUGUCCCUGCGGUCCACCGCGCAGCGAGCGCAAGCGGGUGCGCGCCUGGUGUAAAAACUCUGGCGCUUCGCCUUCUUACCUGCAGCACUAUAUAAACAGACGAGUAGGUGUGAAGUUACCACAGCAUUCAUUGCUAUUUGCACUGUUUUCCUGCCAAAAUUUUUAACCAUCGCCGAAGCUUGUCUGUUAGAAACGAACGAAGCUCCAGUUUGAAACCUGCUUCGGAGGAAGAAAAUUUUAAAGUUUCACAAGUUCAUAAUUGAAUGGCCAGAGUCCGUUCUACCGCCAGGGUUGAGCGCAAGGGGGAGGAAACUGAAGCUUCGGAGACUCUUCCCAUCUCCGAAGCCAUGCAACGAUCGGGUCUAGUGACUUCAGAAAAGAUCCCUCAUGAUGAUGCAAAACAAGCAGAACAAGCAAUCGCUGAAGCAGAGGAAGAAGAUAUUGAGGAAACUGAUUCCGAAGAUGAUUACCGCAUUGCCAUGCCAAGCAAGCCGAGCCACUUGGACUUCGGAAAAUCUACUGUGUCGAAGACUGAUCUAUCCAAGAUGGUAAAAUCGGGCUUUUUCACUGAAAAUCAGAAGAAGCUGUUGCGCUUCGGUGGAGAAGAGACUACCCCGAAGCCAGAGAAGGAUGAGAUUGUUAUUUUUAAAAGUUUUCUAAAGGCUGGAUUAAGGUUCCCCCUGCAUGGGAUUAUUGGAGAGGUACUGAAGAGAUUCGGUAUCUAUUUUCAUCAGCUGACCCCUAACGCUAUCGUUAGGCUUAUUGUUUAUAUCUGGGCACUCCGAAGCCAAGCAGUGGAACCAUUUGCAGACAGCUUCUGCCGGGUUCACGAGCUACAUUAUCAAACAAAGGCUAGAAAAGAUGGAUUACACGAUAAUUUUGGUUGCUAUAACUUUGCCUAUCGGAAAACUACAAAGUUCCCUGUAAUUAGCUACCGAAGCAAGUGGGCAGCAGGCUGGAAAUCAGAGUGGUUCUAUGUCAAGGUUGAUGACGACAAGGAAAAGCUUGUACAAAGCUCGCUGGAAUUAAUCUUCGGAGAAACCCGACCUCGCUGCAAUAUGACACCCGAAGGUCCAACACAACAAGCAAUGAGUGAAUUCAGAAUUAUUGCAGAGCAUAUCAGCACAAGGGACCUGGUUCAAGAGUUUUUAGCAUUCAAAGUUUUUCCCAGUUUGAGAGAAUGGGAAAUGCCGAAGCUACAGGGGGAAAAGAAAGAAGGUGAACUCGUACGUUUACCUUACUAUUUCAAGUUUAAAAAGUACUUUAAAGCACCUUGCCAAGAGUGGCUAGAUACGAUUGAAGCAAUGUGUAAUGAAAUACUUGGCAAUUAUUCCAAAAAAGAAGAUCAAUUGAUGACCGCAGCCUUCGGCACUCGUCCGAAACGAAGGCUAAAUCGAGUGUCGGACGCCUUGGGUUUCGAAUACCCAGACUACGAAAAUCUGAACAGAGGUGCCAGAGGCCAAAAAAGGAAAAGGGUAACUGAAACCUUAGAUGAAGGCGAAAAAGAGCCAGUAACGAAGAAAAUUCCGAAGAAAAGGAAAGCUUCUUCUCCGAAGCAACAAAUAUCCGAAGCAGAAGAAACUCCCGCAUCACCUUCUGCUGCUGUUGUUGAGGAAAUUCUGAAGGUAAUGACUGAAUCCUUACCUGCGAAGCUAAGUCCACUGGGUCCUCAACUGACAAAGUUUUUUCAGAAGGACAAGGAGCCCGAGAAAUCGAAGAAAACAAUCAAGGCAAGGAAACAAAGAAUCAUUACCGUGACAGAGGUAAUUGACAAAACGCCGCCAAGAGCUUCGGCCCAAAAAACACGAGCAACUUUAGAGGGGGCAGAUAUUGAAAUUGCACCUUCGGAGGCCGCAGCCGCCGAAGUUACCUCAGCUGAAGAUUUGAAUUUAGAGAGCACAAUUGAACAUAUUGACCAAAUGCUGCUAGACAUGGCUGCAGAAGAAGCUGCCACUGCUGCCGAAGAGACUGUGACCGCAGCGUCACAGAAAGGAAAAGAAAUUGCUGAUGAAGCUUCAGAGAACGAAGCCUUCGCGUUCCAAAACUUAGUUGGAGAACAUCUAACAAAAGCUGAAAUAGAAGAGCUUAAAGAGUAUGCCCAAUCCUGUGGAUACAAACCUGGGGCACUCCUCUUCGGAGGCGUUGAUGACGAGAAAUUAGAGUGUAUUCGGGACCAAACAGGGGCCAAAGUUAUCAGUACUCUGUCCAAGAGUAUUGGAUUCCCGAAGCUAGAAGCAGACAUCAGCCGCUACCGACGACAACAUGUCGUUGGUAGUUUAUUUUACUCCAACUUCAAGGUGAAUGACUUAUCCCUUAACCUUUAUUGCUUCUAAUAAAAACACGUCUGACGAAGGUUGUGUUUGUGUAGAGUAUGUUAUUGAGCAAAGCCGUGCAAAUGCAGCAAGAUCUUGAAGAUAAAAAGCAUGAAAUUAUAAUCGGAAAUUUGGAAAACAAAAUAAAGGAGCAAUCAGAUGCUUUUGAGAAAAAGAAUUUUGAGCUCCAGGCAGCCGAAGGCUUACUGGCGGAAGCUGAAGCAAAAAUAUCAGAACUGAACUCGAAGCUUCUCCGCCAGUCUGAGCAGUUCGAACGAGAAAAACAAGAUCUCAAUGCAAAACUUGAUGCCGAAGCUCAGCAAAAUUCGGAUUUGAGAAAACUACUGACAAAUCUUCAAGAAAAAUGCCUGGAAUUUAGCAACAAGUGCAUUCAACGAUUAAGAAAGAUUUUUUACUCGGUUGGAGCUAGCAGCGAAAAAUUUACCCCCUCAGCUGAAGAUCUACCAAAAACCUUCGAACACAUUGAGGGGGAAAUUGACGAGCUCGACGAAGUCAUAGCUGGGCAUGGUGACUUCUGUGCCUGGGUGGCUUCUCGAGGGACUGCUGCAGCCUUCAUGAAGGCUGGCUGUGAUCAUGGGAAAAUUGUCAAUAGGCCAAAUUUUACUUUGUCACCAUCAAUCCUGGAUGACAUCCUGAUCUCGCCCGAAGCAUCUCGAAUCGAUUUGUAAAAAUGAUAUGGACAAAAGGUGGUCGAGAGAAAGCGGGAGACGAAGCUCGUAGCCACCUUGAUCCAGUAAGAAAUCAUACCUUGUGCUUACCUUUUCCUGUAAACUUGAUUCUGACUUCCAACGACCUUAUUCAUGUAGGAUGACGAAGCCGAAGCUGAUGAUCAAAAAUAACGCCGAAGCCGAAGCUCCUUGGAGAUUUAGAUAGCAGACUGCAGACAGUACUUGAAAAACUUUUGAGAUAACUUUUGUAAAUGUAAACAAAAACUUGUUUUUAAUGUAUGCUGUUCAUACCUUGUAAUAUAUUCUUAACCUUUCACUGAUGUAUGAGAAAUGCUUUGGUGUGGACGAAAUUUCCUUUUUUGAGCCGAAGGCGAAAAAACACCUUCCCUUCUUUUCGUACGCAACGAAGCAUAGAAAACAACAUUUUCCUUUUUUCCGAAGCUCUUCUUCAUAGAAAACAACAUUUUCCUUUUCUCCGAAGCUCUCCUUCAUAGAAGUUUUUCCCUUUCUUUUUUCUCUUCUUGCCGAAGCAACCAUUUUAUGCGAUGAAGAUGAUUAUCCUACAUAUGCCUAGAUGAAUGUUUAUGAAUGCAAAUGCUAUGAUGUAAUGUGAUGUGCAAAUGAAUGGCCAAACACGUAUCCGAAGCCAUAUUCAUAGCCAUUAUUUUCUUAAAAACAAUCACACCUCAGCUCUGCAUUCCCUUAGGAACGACUUUGGAGCUUCUUCGCCUUUACUUUUGGCGGAAUCAGCGUUGACUUUUCGCUGUAAGCUCUGCAUUCCCUUAGGAACGUCUUUGGAGCUUCUUCGCCUUUACUUUUCGGUUGAUUUCGCUGUAACUCUGCAUUCCUUAGUCUUUGAGCUUCUUCGCCUUUACUUUUGGUGGAAUCAGCGUUGACUUUUCGCUGUAAGCUCUGCAUUCCCUUAGGAACGUCUUUGGAGCUUCUUUUUUUUCUUUUUGGCACUCGAUGGUGCAUUCUCAGCUUUUACAUUUACAUUCUUUGGGGGAUUUUGUUCUUAUAGAACUAAAAAAGAAAAUUACACGUGAUGGCCCCAUUAAAAACCUUUCUCCCCCUUCGGAAAGGAAAAGGGUGCCAUGAAAGAAGAACUAAAAAAUAAAAAAUAUGAAAAAUUACAUCGAAUUAAACAUAAUAUCGCCGAAGCUCAUCCGCAUUCCAAGAUCUAGGAAUGUCAUUGCCGUCCAUAUCUUUCAAUCUGUAUGAACCGGGUCUUGACGAAGAUGCUACUAAGAAAGGCCCGUCCCAUUUCAACUGCAAUUUGCCCACUGUUUCCGAGUUGGCCACCCUCCGAAGCACCAAGUGCCCUGGCCCAAUAUUUUUUAGCCGAACCUUUCUAUCCCGCCAUUUAACUGUUUCAGCUUGAUAUUUAUUGAUAUUCUCCACGGCUUGCAGUCUGAUCCCUUCUAAAGCAUCUUUUUCUAUAGAAUAAGCAGCUUCGGAGUCUGAUUCUGCCGAAGCUACUAUCCUUAUUGAUCCGGUUUUAGCUUCCUCUGGAGUUAUUGCUUCGUCACCGAAUAACAACUUGAAUGGAGUGAAGCCUGUAGACCUUGAUGUUGUCGUGUUGUGGCUCCACACCACUUUGAUUAACUGAUCUGGCCAUUUUCCUCUGGGUUGAUUGAAGAUUAACUUCAUUAUUCCUGUCAUUAUAAUGCCGUUGGCUCUUUCAACGAGUCCAUUUGACUCCGGGUGCCUAACUGAUGCAAAAUGGAUCUUCGUACCAAUUUGGUCACAGAAAUCCCUGAAAGCUUCGGAGUCAAACUGUGUCCCAUUGUCCACAGUGAUGGCCUUUGGCACCCCGAAACGACAAACAAUAUUCUGCCAGAAAAACUUUUGGACGGUGGCCGAAGUUAUUGUUGCUAAAGGCUUCGCCUCAAUCCAUUUAGAAAAAUAUUCCACAGCUACUACAACAUAUCUCAGGUUCCCUUGGGCCGGUGGUAACGGACCUAACAAGUCAAGGCCCCACCUUUGCAAUGGCCAAGUGGGUUGUAUGAGCUGUGUUAAGGACGAAGGUUGUUUUUGAUCUCUUGCACAUUUCUGACAACCUUCGCACUUUUGAACCAAUUCUGCUGCAUCCGAAGCUGCCUUCGGCCAAUAAAACCCUUGACGGAAAAUUUUUCCGAGUAACGGCCUAGAUCCGAUGUGAGAUCCACACAGGCCUGCAUGUAUUUCUUUCAUUAACUCUAUACCUUCGGUUCUGGAUAAGCAUUUGAGCAGCGGAGCACAAACUCCAUGUUUGUACAACUCCCCUUCUAUCAUGACAUAUGGACGAGCUCUUGCUUCUAUCCUCUUGUUAUAAGCUUCGUCAUCUGAAAGAAAUUUACCCUGAAGGUAAGAGAUGAUCUCGGUUCUCCAAUCUUCGCUAAAAACAGGAGAUAUAUUAAGAACUGCUCUUUCAAGAAGUUCCACCGAAGGUGCUUUUAUUGUUUCGAAGAACACAUCCGAAGGUAAAGGCAGCCCCUGUGCUGCUGACUUGGCUAGCAGAUCAGCAUGCUCAUUUUGUCCUCGAGGAAUAUUCUUGACAGAAAACCCUUCGAAGGAAGCUUCGACUCUUCGAACCAUAUCCAGAUAUUUUUCAAGCUUCGGAUCCUUAGCCUUACAACUUUUGUCAAUAUGACCCGAAACAACCUGGGAAUCAGUUUUAAGUAUGGCCCUUCUGACUCCCAUUGCUUUUAACUUCCGAAGACCUAGAACCAAUGCUUCGUACUCAGCAAUGUUAUUUGUGCAAUUAAAAUCAAGUUUUGCCGCAUAACAAAUUUUGACUUUGGAAGGUGAAACCAACACAGCAGCCGCUCCUGCUCCGAAGGUUCCCCAAGAUCCAUCACAAAACACUGUCCAGGCUUCGUUGUCUUUAUUCGUUUCCUCCUCCUGAGCCCCUGGCGUCCAAUCAGCAAUAAAGUCUGCCAGCGCCUGUGACUGAAUCGAAGAUCUAUGAACAUAUUCAAUACAAAAUUCAUUGAGCUCUGUAGCCCAUUUUCCAAUCCUUCCAGUAGCUUCUCGAUUCCUCAUAAUAUCCUUCAGAGGUUGCGAUGAAGGAACAAUUAUGUUGUAAGCUUGGAAAUAGUGUCGAAGCUUCCUGGAGGCCAUCAAGACAGCAUACAAUACCUUCUCCAGUUCUGUAUAAUUUUUCUUUGACAAACUAAGAACCUCGGAUACAAAAUAUAUUGGGGCCUGCCUCUUGACUUGACCAUCAAGCUUUUCCUGGACAAGCGCUGCACUUACCGCUGAGUGCGAAGCUGCCACAUAUAAUAACAAAGGAGCCCCUGGCAUUGGUGGAGUCAAUGUUGUUAGAUUUAUUAAAUACUGUUUUAGCUCUUCAAAGGCCUUCUGUUGGAUUGGUCCCCAUUGAAAGACUUCGGCUGACUUCAGCACUUCGAAGAAUGGUAAGUUUCUCUCUGCUGAUCUGGAUAUGAAUCUAUUGAGAGAUGCCAAUCUUCCUGUCAAUCUUUGAGCCCCCUUCUUUGUAGUUGGUGGCUCCAUCCGAAGUAUAGCUUCAAUUUUACUUGGAUUAGCUUCAAUCCCCUUUGUUGAAACCAAGCAUCCAAGAAAUUUCACCUUCUUCACUCCGAAGACGCAUUUUUCUGGAUUUAACUUCAAGCCAGCUUGCCUGAAACUGGCGAAGGUCUCCUGCAGAUCAGCAAUAUGAUUCUCCUGCUUCGUGCUUUUGACAAUGAUGUCAUCAACAUAAGUUAGCACGUUUCUGCCUAUUUGAGAUUGGAGAACCUUCGCAGUCAUUCGGCUGAAACUUCCUCCAGCGUUUUUGAGCCCCUCAGGCAUCCGAAGAUAGCAAUAUGUGCCACUUGGAGUUAUGAAGCUAGUCUUCGGCUCAUCUUCCUUCUUCAUCCAAAUUUGGUGAUAGCCUGAAUAACAGUCUAACAGACUCAUGAGCUCUGAAGAAGCUGCUGCAUCAACUAAAGAAUCUAUCCUUGGUAGUGGGAAUUCAUCCUUCGGGCAAGCUUUGUUAAGAUCUGUAAAAUCGAUGCACAUUCGCCACUUGCCAUUGGCCUUUUUUACCAUAACAGUGUUAGCUAGCCAUUCUGGGUACUUCACUUCUCUGAUAACUCCUGCACUAAGGAGUCUUUUGACUUCGUUGCGAGCGCCUUCGGCCUUAUCAUCUGACAUUUUCCGAAGCCUUUGCUUUCUGGGUCUGAAGGAUGGAUCGACAUUGAGUGAGUGCUCGAUAACAUCUCUAUUAACUCCGCAAAGAUCAUUGGCUGACCAUGCAAAAACAUCCUUGUUAUUGAACAAAAACCUUAUCAAGGUUUUCUCCUGCUCUUCGGAUAACUGAGAUCCUAACAGCACCUUCUGCUCUGCUAUGUCCUCACAUAAGAGCAUAGGCUUCGGCUGGUCUGCUGAAGCUGCUUUCUCCCUUCUGAAUUUGUACUGUUCACAAGCUUCAGCUCCAUCGAUGUUAUGGAUUGCUUUUGAGUCAGUCCAAUUACCUUCGGCCCUUCUUGCAGCUUCCUGACUUCCAUGGAUAGCGAUGGGUCCCUGAUCCGAAGGUAUCUUCAUGCAAAGAUAGGCAGGAUGAAGGAUUGCUUCGAAGGCAUUGAGAGUACCACGACCAAUAAUUGCAUUGUAAGGGUAUUCCAUGUCGACAAUGUCAAACACAACUUGCUCAGUUCUAGUGUUGUUGAUGAACCCGAAGGUCACUGACAUGGUGAUCUUGCCCAAUGCUACAAUCUGUCUUCCUCCGAAGCCACAGAGAGGAUGUGUAGCAUCAUGAAUCUUAUCUUCUGGCUCUUGCAUUUGUCUGAAGGCCUUAGCAAAUAUGAUGUCAGCUGCACUGCCUGUGUCAACCAAGACAUUGUGGACCAGAAAUCCUUUGAUAACACAAGAGAUAACCAUGGCAUCGUUGUGUGGGUAAUCUUUGAGCUAAAGGUCCUCUUGGGAGAAGGUAAUAGGAAUGUGAGACCAUCUUGACUUGAUGAAGGGUCCUUGCACCCCAACAUGCUGUACCCUUCUCUGUGCUUCCUUCUUCUGUUUCUUGUUAGCUGGCUCUGAGGACGAGCCACCUGUGAUCGGGAGUACCAGCUUCGGAUCCGAAGCAGCUCCAGCUUGGUCGUUGAACGAAGCCAUCAGCUCAAAAAGUGGAAGUGAGUUCACCGGAGGUGGGCGCCAAUGUUGGGGACUUGUUCUCAAAUGCUAUAAGUUAAGAACAAGGCAACACAGAGAAUGUUAAACGAUAAAGUCCUUCGUCCUUUGAGGCAUUAUUUCCCUUAGGAUAUAACGAUCUCCGGACGAAGGUCAUGAAGGACGAGCCUUCAUCAGCACAGUAUAUAUUAAUGAAAGACGAAGCAUAUGAAACAUAAAAGAUAGCAUGAAUAAUCAUAUAACAUCAUUCAUUUAACUUUAUUAUAUCAUCAUAGAGAAAUAGAGACAAUAUCGAAUUGUAAAUGUACCUUCGGUUUGGAAGGAGAUGAAAAUACAAGUGUGACGCAAAAUCAAAUGCCAAGUCAACGUGAACAGUACGGGGGUACUGUUCACCUAUUUAUAGGCACGAGGUACAAUCCAUACAAAAUUACAUACAUGCCCUUUACAUUUGGUGAUAAUUCUAUAGCACUCUAUUGAGGUCUAAAUGGUCUUUUCAUCUUUAAGUCGGUUCCCUUCUCUGCGAACAUGCCGAAGCUUUCCUGCUUCACAGCUUCGGCGCUGUGUCAACCUUUGUAGCUUUUUGCUUUCUGAUACGAGUCCGAAGAUACCUGCUCACACAUUUUAAGCCGCUUCUCCCUUGAAGACCUUCGGCGACGAAGCAUAGACCCAACAGCACCAUUAGGUCAGAAUCCUCCACACACACACCCACGUGCCACUGAGAUCCUCACUGUGCUUGAGGGGACACUCUACGUCGGAUUUGUCACCUCCAACCAAGCUGAUAGAAGCAACAGGCUAUUUGCCAAGGUUCUCAACAAGGGCGAUGUGUUUGUAUUCCCCCAAGGACUAAUCCACUUCCAGUUCAACCCAGUACAUGACAAGCCAGCAGUCGCGCUCGCUGCUCUAAGUAGCCAGAACCCUGGAGCUAUUACUAUUGCCAAUGCAGUCUUUGGAUCAAAGCCACCUAUCUCGGAUGAUGUCCUAGCUAAGGCCUUUCAAGUGCAAAAGGGGACAAUUGAUUGGCUUCAAGCUCAGUUCUGGGAGAACAACCACUACUGAAAAAAUCAAGUCUGAGUUCAACAUAUGAGAAUAAAGAAAUGUACUUGUAUUUUACAUACUACUCUAUGUGUUAACCUUUUUCUAGGUUGCGACUGAUAAUAAAAUAAAUGUUCAGUAUUUAUGUACUAUAAUUGCAAUUGUGUCCCUGUUGUGGCUCCACCACAGUGUCCUUAAUCAAAAAGCGAAUGUAAGGUAUACAACAGUCUAUCAUUUCCCAUUUUAUUGGAAUGAUACAUAUGGUAAUACAUCUCUACAAUUGUGUA